rnacentral:rRNA from 1 species
UACGAAGGGGGCUAGCGUUGCUCGGAAUCACUGGGCGUAAAGCGCACGUAGGCGGCUUUUUAAGUCAGGGGUGAAAUCCUGGAGCUCAACUCCAGAACUGCCUUUGAUACUGAGAGGCUUGAGUUCGGGAGAGGUGAGUGGAACUGCGAGUGUAGAGGUGAAAUUCGUAGAUAUUCGCAAGAACACCAGUGGCGAAGGCGGCUCACUGGCCCGGUACUGACGCUGAGGUGCGAAAGCGUGGGGAGCAAACAGG